UACGGGGGAUGCAAGCGUUAUCCGGAUUUAUUGGGUUUAAAGGGUGCGUAGGCUGUGCAAGUCUGAAGUGAAAGGCAAGGGCUCAACCUUUGGACUGCUUUGGAAACUGUGCAGCUAGAGUGUCGGAGAGGCAAGUGGAAUUCCUAGUGUAGCGGUGAAAUGCGUAGAUAUUAGGAGGAACACCAGUGGCGAAGGCGGCUUGCUGGACGAUGACUGACGUUGAGGCUCGAAAGCGUGGGGAGCAAACAGG
rnacentral:rRNA from 1 species